GUCUAUGGCCAUACCACCAUGAAAGCACCCAAUCUCAUCUGAUCUUGGAAACUAAGCAGGGUUGGGCCUGAUUAGCACUUGGAUGGCUGACAUUUUAAAUGUAUGUUCUGAUUUUAUUGAAG
rnacentral:rRNA from 1 species